rnacentral:lncRNA from 1 species
UGGUAUGCUUCUGGAAACCCGGAGCGCUCCGUACUUUCAAGUUGUUUUCGAUGUUCGGGCUUUCGAAUUGACGAUCGGCUCCGUUAGACUUGAUCUAGAGUAUUUGAAGUGUCUAAAAAAUAAAUUUUGCGAUUUUUCGAUAUCAUUUGCCUAGUGAUCAAAGUGGCUCAAAAUCAACAGCUGAAAAUAAAAAUCUUACAAAAUAUGAUGAUAUGACAUUAAAAUUUUAGAUCAAAGUUAUUGAUCUUGUUUUAUAUGGUAUAAAGAAUUUUCUAUCAAAAUUUCAUGUGAUUUGGAUAUUUCUACACUAUUGAACUUGCAAACGACUCACCACGGUCAUUAAAAUUAUUGAUUUUGAGUCCGUUCAAUCACUAGGCAAAUGAUAUCGAAAAAUAACAAAAUUUAUUUUCUAGGUAUUUCAAAUACUCUAGAUCAACUCUAACGGAGCCGAUCGUUGAUUCGAAAGUCCGAAAAUCA